AUUGAACGCUGGCGGAAUGCUUUACACAUGCAAGUCGAACGGCAGCACGGACUUCGGUCUGGUGGCGAGUGGCGAACGGGUGAGUAAUGUAUCGGAACGUGCCCAGUCGUGGGGGAUAACGUAGUGAAAACUACGCUAAUACCGCAUACGAUCUAUGGAUGAAAGCGGGGGAUCGCAAGACCUCGCGCGAUUGGAGCGGCCGAUAUCAGAUUAGGUAGUUGGUGGGGUAAAGGCCCACCAAGCCAAGGAUCUGUAGGCGGUCUGAGAGGACGACCAGCCACACUGGAACUGAGACACGGUCCAGAUUCCUACGGGAGGCAGCAGUGGGGAAUUUUGGACUAUNNNCGAAAGCCUGAUCNAGCCAUUCCGCGUGCAGGAUGAAGGCCCCCGGGUUGUANACUGCUUUUGUACAGAACGAAAAGGUUUCUACUAAUACUAGNAGCNCAUGACGGUACUGUAAGAAUAAGCACCGGCUAACUACGUGCCAGCAGCCGCCGCGG
rnacentral:rRNA from 1 species